UUGAGAGGGAGACUGUGACCUAGAGAGAGAGGCCGAGAGAGUUCGAGAAAGGGAGUUCGAGAGAGAGAGUGGUCCGACGGAGUGCUUGCCGGAGUGCCCGCUGGACAACGUUGAAGGGUACCGAUUCACGGUCGCCGGUACCGAUUCACGACCGUUAUCGAUUCACGGCCGCCGCAGCUCCGACGUUGGCCAACGAAGCGAAGACGGAAUCGUGUUCCGUCCGGCCCAGCGAAGUAGGGGCGCGUUCAAGGUCUCGCUUCGUCCCACCUCCUUCCGUCCCUGUGCCGGAGUGCCGCCGGAGCAUCGCCGGAGAAUCGUCGGAGUGUGGACUGUUCGGUGGACGAAAAAGAGGGGUUUUCCGGGUUGUUAGUCCAACCCACACAAUUUUUCUUCGUCUGUGUUCAAACUGGCACACCUUGUGUUCACUCAAGAGAUGGAAUCAAAACCCCUCAUACUCACACCAUGGAGCUUAGGCCUUAUAUUGAGGAACCCAUUUCAAAUGAUGCAGCAUCUUUAAACUUUAUGUCUCUUGAUCUUCGACCAAGAGUCAUACAUGAUUUUACUGUCUAAUAGAGAUGCAGUCAAUGAAUGUUGGAAAACAUUAGAGUAUCACUAUGCUACUGCUGAUCGAAAAGCUGCUUCAUUGCAUUUAUUGGAUCCCUGGUCCAUGAGGCCCAUAAUCUUGAAUUGUUUUUUGGACAUUUGUUUAAUCGUUACAAAGACAACAAACCGUUCUUGUAGGUUCAACACGUGCAUACUUCAAUCCAACCGAACUCGUAAGUUUUUAAUCUUGUUUUUUUUUAAUUAUAAUAUUUGUUUGUUUCAUAUAAGUAGCAUUUCAUUAUUUGUAUUUUGGACUUUUUUUGAUGUAGAUAUGAUUGUGGAGUUAUUUUUUUGAAAUUUAUGGAGUUGUGGGAUGUUGUUCAGAAAUAUGAAGGCAAAACAAUAUCCAAUUACACUAGUGAGGAACUACAAGAGGUUAGGGAGAAGUAUGUGUGUGAUUGGAUUUUGGAUGUUGACAUUGUGUGGAGGAAUGAAGUGUUGCAACAUUUAGGGUUGUUACAAAAUGGAUAGUACGAAUGUCAUUUAUGGAUUUCUUAUCACUAUUUGAAAUUGUGAUGAUUAGGUUUGAAUGUACAUAUUUUUUGUUACAAAUCAUCAAAGAAAUGUU